CUAAAAGUUUUGAUGAUUUAAAUGAAGUCUGGUGAGUUUGGCAAUAGCGAUUUCCAGGGUUUUCUGCUUAAUCAAAAAGGAUCUUAUUCUUUGAAAAAAGGUCCAUCUCUAUAGGGUUCCUCUCAAAAUGUUGUCAGAAACUGAAUAGAAAUUUGAGACUGUCAGUGGCAAAAACAGAACUUUUAGUGAACUGAAAUUGUCGAUUCACAUUUGCCCUACUGUACAUGGUCAAUUACAUUCCAGUUUAUGCCUCUUCUUGCUCAAUACUGGACCAAUUUUAAAGAUUUUGUACACAUCAGUCAUUUAGAAAGCAGUGCAUGGGAAAAUGUCCAUGAUCCAUGUUGGAAAAU